AACUUAGUUAGAAGAGCGCCACCUUGACAGGGUGGCGGUCGUGAGUUCGAGCCUCUCCGGGG
rnacentral:tRNA from 1 species